rnacentral:tRNA from 1 species
GGCCGGCUGGCGGAAUUGGCAGACGCGGUGGAUUCAAAAUCCACUUUCCUCACGGAAUUCGGGGUUCGAGUCCCCGGCUGGCUACCA